CCAAAAGGUCAUCCUGCAAGAGAUAUGCAAGAUAGCUUUUAUGUAACAUCUGAAUAUUUAUUAAGAACUCAAACAUCUUCUGUUCAAGCAAGGACAAUGAUGGCAAACACAGAAAAAACACCAAUACGUAUGAUUAGCUAGUUGGUGAGGUAACGGCUCACCAAGGCGACGAUACAUAGGGGGACUGAGAGGUUAACCCCCCACAUUGGUACUGAGACACGGACCAAACUCCUACGGGAGGCAGCAGUGAGGAAUAUUGGUCAAUGGGCGAGAGCCUGAACCAGCCAAGUAGCGUGAAGGAUGACUGCCCUAUGGGUUGUAAACUUCUUUUAUAAAGGAAUAAAGUCGGGUAUGCAUACCCGUUUGCAUGUACUUUAUGAAUAAGGAUCGGCUAACUCCGUGCCAGCAGCCGCGGUAAUACGGAGGAUCCGAGCGUUAUCCGGAUUUAUUGGGUUUAAAGGGAGCGUAGAUGGAUGUUUAAGUCAGUUGUGAAAGUUUGCGGCUCAACCGUAAAAUUGCAGUUGAUACUGGAUAUCUUGAGUGCAGUUGAGGCAGGCGGAAUUCGUGGUGUAGCGGUGAAAUGCUUAGAUAUCACGAAGAACUCCGAUUGCGAAGGCAGCUCACUAGACUGUCACUGACACUGAUGCUCGAAAGUGUGGGUAUCAAACAGGAUUAGAUACCCUGGUAGUCCACACAGUAAACGAUGAAUACUCGCUGUUUGCGAUAUACAGCAAGCGGCCAAGCGAAAGCGUUAAGUAUUCCACCUGGGGAGUACGCCGGCAACGGUGAAACUCAAAGGAAUUGACGGGGGCCCGCACAAGCGGAGGAACAUGUGGUUUAAUUCGAUGAUACGCGAGGAACCUUACCCGGGCUUGAAAGUUAGUGACGAUUCUGGAAACAGGAUUUCCCUUCGGGGCACGAAACUAGGUGCUGCAUGGUUGUCGUCAGCUCGUGCCGUGAGGUGUCGGCUUAAGUGCCAUAACGAGCGCAACCCUUGUUGUCAGUUACUAACAGGUUCCGCUGAGGACUCUGACAAGACUGCCAUCGUAAGAUGUGAGGAAGGUGGGGAUGACGUCAAAUCAGCACGGCCCUUACGUCCGGGGCUACACACGUGUUACAAUGGUAGGUACAGAGGGCAGCUACCCUGCGAAGGGAUGCGAAUCUCGAAAGCCUAUCUCAGUUCGGAUUGGAGGCUGAAACCCGCCUCCAUGAAGUUGGAUUCGCUAGUAAUCGCGCAUCAGCCAUGGCGCGGUGAAUACGUUCCCGGGCCUUGUACACACCGCCCGUCAAGCCAUGGGAGCCGGGGGUACCUGAAGUCCGUAACCGCGAGGAUCGGCCUAGGGUAAAACUGGUGACUGGGGCUAAGUCGUAACAAGGUAGCCGUACCGGAAGGUGCGGCUG
rnacentral:rRNA from 1 species